GGGUUUGGCACCUGAGUCCGACUUUGUAGGAGAACCAUUCUUUCAUCAGAUUUGAUUUGGUAUAUAUGAUCCAUGUAGUUUUCGACGCUUUGUUUCUGCAUUCAGUUCGACCUAGGCUUGCGUAGCAUACUGUGCGCUGCCAUUUGAGCAGUACCGUGCCGAUUGCCGGCUUCAAGUUUCCUCAGUCGGUGGUGCGCAGCGGUGUGGUCCUUACGUGUUUCUUUGCUCCGUCACGGCUGUUAGCAAUUCUGUUGUUUUAAUACGGUAGAAGCAUUGAAAUUGUUUGCCAUCGACUAUUGACUAACUGAUUUAUCGCGAAUCAACUCCUAAGUUAAGAGAUCUUAUCAUGUCCGCGUGUGAAUGAUAUUGGUCGCCGGCCGUCGGAUCUCUUUAGUGCUGCUACGGAUUUCAAUUGGAUUUGUGGGUAAAAUUAUUCAAUUCUUAAUUCUUCAGCAUAAAGCACGUGUUUUUUCUUGUGUGGGAUUGUUGCUAGUGCAAAAGUACUACAGUGUACAGUGAGAAGUAAAUAAAUUCUACUGUGUGUAGUUUGGAACAAUAACGGAGUAUUUAACAUCAAGUAAACAAUUUCCUAUGUACACUAAAUUGUAAUCUAAAAUCACGUUAAUUUUUUCAAUAACUAUAUACUUAUAUAUCCGCUAAAUUAAUAUGGAUCAAAGAAACUAAAAUUAUAGUCUUUCUUUAUUUUUGUAUUGUCAUACAUUUUCAUAUAUUUAGUAUUGUCGCAAGUGGCCGUAUAGUUUCAAUAUGCGUACGUAACAAUACCUAUGAUAUGUUCUUAAUUUUGACUACUAUAAAGUUGCAUUGUAUGUUUUAUUGAAAUAUCCAUUGCAACGGUGUUAUGGAUGUGCGUAUUUUAAGGCAAGUCUUUAUGUCUCGGAAUUUCAUAGCCAUGGUAAUUUUCGAUAUGCAAAUUGUAUAUAUUUUUAUAUAAUGUAAAUAAAACACAAUAUAAUAUUACAAUCUC